UACGAAGGGUGCAAACGUUGCUCGGAAUUAUUGGGCGUAAAGCGCACGUAGGCGGCAUUGCAAGUCGGAUGUGAAAUCCCUCGGCUUAACCAAGGAAGUGCAUCCGAAACUGCAGUGCUUGAGUACUUAAGAGGAUCGCGGAAUUCCCGGUGUAGAGGUGAAAUUCGUAGAUAUCGGGAGGAACACCAGUGGCGAAGGCGGCGACCUGGGUAGAUACUGACGCUGAGGUGCGAAAGCGUGGGGAGCAAACAGG
rnacentral:rRNA from 1 species